CACUAAUCACCUGAGUUGUCUUUGUCACUGUCUUAAAGCACAAGCAUCCAACAACGGAGGCUAUUCCACUUUGCAGCUGCUUGUCCUCUGGGAGGAUCCAGAUUGAAGCCUGAACGAUGCUCGCUGUCCAGAGCCUGCAGCCUGAGCUGCACUUGUGUUUAUGUGGCAGACCUGUAGCUGUGAAUAUGUGAUUCUUCAGCACAGGAGAGAGGUAGCAUGGGCAACUGAGUCCCACCUUUCCCAGAAGUCUGUGGAAACUGUACUGCUGUAGGUAAACCACCUGCAGCAGGCUAGCAGCUGCACAUCCUCACCUUAACUUCUUUCUUGGUGUAGCAGCAGUAUUCCAGCUGCAAAUUGUUCCCAUUGGAACUGGGAUUUGACUGUUGGGGGACACGGACAGAGUCUUUGAGUCUGAAUAACUGCUGAGAUCCAGGAAAUGGAAUAACAGGGUGUCUGUACUAGGCCCAUACAUGUGAUAACCUCUUGUGCUAGUACAUUUUGAUCCUAGAGAUAUUACCUCCUCUCUGAGUGACCGAUGGAACUGAGUCACAACAUGUUUUGAAGUUGGGAGCUAAGAUUUAAGAAAAAAUGCCAUUGCAACUGGCUUUUAGUUUUUUGAGCCUGACGGCCAUAGGCUGCUCUUCUGAAGGCAUUCUGGAGUCAAACUUGCCUCAUUCAGGCAGGAAUCAAAGUGUCAGACGCAGGCUGAUAUGUCUGCAGGGCUUGUUGGUCUGCCAUGCUCAUAAGCAACACCUAUCCAGUACAUCCUAACUUUUUGUACACUCAAACACCUUUCUGAAAAGAGCUAGUUGUAAGUAAAAUCAUCUAUUCGUGCACGGAAGUGAAGGAGGGAGCAGAAAUAGAGGCUCGAAACCUUUCUGUUUCCCUGGAGCUACUCUGUACCACAAGAUUAAUUGGAGGACGCACAUUUUUUAUGAAAUUUCAGUGUAAGAAGUUUCAGAUGUCCUCCUGGCCAGUAGCACAAACCGGCAUCACUUUCUGAACAAUGGCAAAAUCUAACUGGAUGAGGAAGGACGUGACAAGGUGGAAGAGAUGAGGGACUAUUUCUCUGUUACAACUAGAAACAUCGGCCAAGAAACAUCUUUUUCCUUUGCUCAUCCUUCAGGAUGAAAAGAUUAUUCUGAAGACAGGGACUGCCUGUUUUUAUCCCAGGGACAAGCCGCUGUCAGAACAAUAAUGGGACUUGCAGGAGCAGCAUGUGCCAGGCACUCUUUGAGAUCAGACUGACUGGAGUUGUUUCCUUGGUGCUAAGGGAAUGGAAAAGUUCAUUAAUACUGACUUUGGUCUAUUGUUAUUGACCAUCUCCCUCCCUUCCACCCAAGCUCUGAGUAUUCUUCCUAUUUGAAAAUAUGACCAUUCAUUUAAAGAGAAAAAUAAGCCUAUGUAUGGCAAUAAACUAGUGACUUUUCAGUUCUAAGAUUCUGGCAGACUAUUAACAAGGAAAUUUGUAAGUUACAGGGAUUUCUUUGAAAUUGGAGUUGGGCUUCUCAGUCAUUUCAGUGUUGCAGAAGCUGCUGUCCUUGUUGUCUAGCUUUCUGAAUGUAACUAUGAAAAUCUUGGCAGGGGACAUGGAUGUGCUGUUCUCAGGAAGUGUCGAGGCAGAGCUGGGCUUGCCCUGCCUGGAUUGCUCCAGGCCUUUCUUGGCAGUGAAACACUGAGCGCUGCCAAUGAUGCAGGCUGGAUUUGCAGUCUGAGCUGAACUGGAAGGAGUAAAGCUAUCAGGCACACCUGGGAACUGCAAACAAAUCAAAUGGAGCCAUCUUGUAGUAUUACUGGGAGCUGAGUAAUUUGGAAAGGUGACCAAGUUACCUUGCUCCUGAAUUUUGGAGUCUGAUUCUGGGCUUUGGUGCUGCUCUUUUCAUUUUCAGCUGAACAAGAGAGACACAUUACUGCAGGCUAGUUCAGCUAAAAAAGCCAAACAUUUGCAAGUAGGAAUGUGCAAAUAUGCGCAUGCACGAUAGUGGAAUUAGCUGCACUCAUGGUUUUAAUAAAGCAAAAUCAAAACCAGCAGAGGUUAGGUGCUAGCAGUUGUUUUCAGGGGUGGAAAAAGCUCAUUUGAACUUGAUUCCCUUUCUAUUGCAAGUGUUCAAGUCUCAGUGUGUCUGUGAAAAUAUGCACAUAGGCAUGUGCUCUCUAAUGAUCUUUUCAGGUUUUUUAGUGGAGGCAAUGAAAACCUCUAAAAGAUUAAUGAACUUUCUUAUUUCAGUCCCCAGAUACAGUGUGCUUUCUGGGAUCUGCAAUAGGGUUGUGCUGUUUACAAUUCACUGUUUUUGGUAAGACUGUUCUGCAUAUACGCCAGGCACAGGGGUGCUCAGUACUGAAACAGAAGGCAAAGACUUACAGAGGGCAAGUACCUCUGGAAAGGAGAGAAACGAUAUUAGCCCAAAGGGAAUGAUGCUUUAUUAUUCCUUGAGAAUUCUGACUAAUUUUCUUGAAAUCCUGGAUUUAUUCUUCCAAAUGUGCAUCCAUCUUUGUUCAGGGGUUUGCUUUAUAAUAUCACGUUGCUCUUUUGUGGCUGUUUGUUUCAGUUAUGUUUGCCUAGCUAAAAUGUUUGCUGUGCCCCAAACACAAUUUUUACUCUUCUAUCGCAUUAUGGUAGCCCUGAAGAAUCAAAGUGACAUGAAAGCUAGGGUAGGAAGUCACAGAGAAUUUCUGCGAGCGCUGUGGCUCCUCCUGUGCCAGCAUGUGUACUUGCGUAUGUGGUUAGCCAGACAGAGCAGUCUGGGGUAGGAUGAAAUCUUGUAAGCUAGUUCUGGGUUGGAUCAGUUCCUCAGUACAGCACCCAGUUUGCUUUGUAGCUUUGUAAAUAUUUGUGGUGGCAGACAAGGGGCAGCAGCAACUGCUUUUAGUGGCUUAAACUGGUCCCAGAAUGGCAGCCUUAGGGUGCAAGUCUCCAGUGGAAACGUGGUUGUUGAGGCUAAGUACCUCUUUAUAUGUGUGACCGCUUUCCAACUCAGCAGGGAGAUUUUUCCAACAGAGGUGACUUAUUAGCACCUGUUUUGAAGAAGAAAUCUGUUCAAUGCAAUAGCCCAUUCCAGGUGACUUGAUGUUUUGGUGGGAUGGUAUCAUGAUCCCCUUGCAGGAUCUACUUUUUGCCCACUGAACUAUAAGCCCCAAUCGUCUGCACAGCUCUGUGUGGGAGGAAGGCCACAAGCAGUCUGAGACUAUGUUUCCUCUCUGACAGAAGAAAAUAUAGAAAGUAACAAUGAAAUCCAAAUGUUACCUGGUGUCCUUCCCUUUCUUCCCCCACAGCUGGAACAGACCAGGGAAUUUAUUCUCCUGCAGUUUGCAAUAAUUUGCAGUGCCUUUAAGGCUGGAUCUUGCACUAUUUCCACACAGAAGAUGAUUUCAUGGUCAAGUAAACCUUUGCUUUUAGGAGAUUCUUCCUGUUAUUUACAUUUGGUUUUCCUUGACUUCAUACCUUUCUGAACUUUUGUGGUGCAUGGGAUUUUGGGCACUGAGGCAUAGAGGUGUGAAGGAGAAAACAGGUAAAAUGGAGUCAGUGUGGAAGCAGUAAGUUAUUCUCUGUUCUCUUCUAGAGAGAAUCCAUUUUAAUUUAUAAACAUGCAAAAUUAUGAGUAGCUUUUAAACUGAAAACCUCUGUAGUGGUGUAGGAGAAAAUAGAAAAAUCAAGGAAAACAGGAUAAACUUACGGGGUAGAGGUUGUGCUUUAACUUUUUAUGAUUUGUUGCUAGUUUCCUA